UACGUAGGGGGCAAGCGUUGUCCGGAUUUAUUGGGCGUAAAGAGCGUGUAGGCGGCUUGGAAGGUCAGCUGUGAAAACUCGAGGCUCAACCUCGAGACGUCGGUUGAAACCACCUGGCUAGAGUCCGGAAGAGGAGAGUGGAAUUCCCGGUGUAGCGGUGAAAUGCGCAGAUAUCGGGAAGAACACCCGUGGCGAAGGCGGCUCUCGUGGGACGGUACUGACGCUGAGACGCGAAAGCGUGGGGAGCGAACAGG
rnacentral:rRNA from 1 species